ensembl:lncRNA
CCUCACCUGUUCCCCAUUGUGAUUUGUGUUCUCACCUGUUCCCCAUUGUGUGCUCUCACCUGUCUUGCGUUUUUGUGAUUGUCACUUCCCUCUAUUAGCCAGGGUAUAAAUACCUGGCUAAUCUCUGUGGCCCUGAUCGGGUCGUUAGAAGUCUUUCCUCAAGGACACGCAGCCAUCGCACGCACUCAGGUGCCGCUAGUCUUAGCUAGUUCCGGUUGGUGUCUUGUUGCGGUUCUCACACCGCUUCUGUCUCUCGUUGCGGUCCCUAACCGCUUUCGGCUUCUUAAAGCCUUCAUCAGGUAGCUAUUGUGAAAGCUACAUUUUGUAUCUUGUUUAGUUUAUGGCCUUUUGCCCUGUUCAUAUCCUCUGUGCUUUUGGAUUAUCUCCUGAGUUUGGAUUAUCUUCUGUGUGUUUGUUUCUCGCUGUUGAAGCAUCCUUGUUUCUCAAUAAAAGAACCAUUGAGAACAUCAUCCUGCCAUUGGGUCCUCUCAUUAGCACACUGGGCUAAGCGCUGGUUCCCCACAUCCAGCAUCUCGGGUGCAAUCCCCGAGAAAAGCCUGACAAAUAGAAGCUGAAAUGGAAAGAAGAGGUUCUUCCAAACUUAACAAAUUAACAUUAACAAAUAAAAAAAAAAUUGAGCAUUACAAUUUGAAUAUUACUAAUUUAUGAUGUGAAUCAGAUGCAGGUAAUUAUCCAACAACAGACCUGCAUACUCCACCGAGAGGUCUUCAUUUGAGGUUGGAGUAGAAGCUGAAAUGGAAAGAAGAGGUUCUUCCUAACUUGGUUUUGAUCUUUCGCUGUAUCUGUGUAUUUUGUUAUGUUUAUGAUCUGUUCCUCUCUUUUCUUUGAAGCUUGGCCUACCAUUUUAUGGGAGCGAUGAGGGACAGGUGGAGCUUGAAAAGCCCCCCUUAAUCAAAGUGGGGAAUGACAGAAAAAGUUUGAGAACCACUGCGGUAGUUGAAGAUAGAGAGAGCUGAGGGAUUGUUGGGCGGAAAGUCUCUGUUUAAGAGCCAAAAUGACGGAACAAUCAACAAAAGUUGUAUAGCAUUUGUCAAGCUGAAUUAAGCUAUCACAGAAGCAGCUCGCCUUUAAGUUAUCACCUUAAUGCAAAGCACCCGACAGAAAGCAGUCCCAGGUUAGAUGAUCGAUUUACCGUCGAGGGGCACCAUUGUGUUUUAAAAAAAAAUACAAUUAAACAACAAUUAAACAACAGUGUUAAACAACAUUAAUUAAUUUCAAAAUGUGCGAUUAAUUAAUUUUUUUUAAUCGAUUGACAGCCCUAAUAUAUAUAAGAGAGAGAGAGUGAGCAUACAUGCAAGUAUAUUUUAUUGUAAAUGCAUCUUAUUGUGUACAUUUACUUUUGAAGCUACAAAGACUAAACUGGUACUACAGAUGUUCUAUGUGAUAUUUGUGACAGUAGGGCAUGUUGAUAGUAUAAUUUAAGAUAGUGUUUAUAGAUCAUUAAAUCAGUACUUACUUGUUGUAGACAAUAUCAAAACAAUUGUAAAACCUCUACUUGCAAUCAUUUUCUGUAAUUUCUAUAAUUUGAUUGUCUGUUCAGACAGAAGUAAGGAACACGGAAUGUUCUUGAGAAUAAGGAACACUUUGAGACAGAGGUUUGGCACAGGAAAUUGUGGUAAAGUUUCUUUUCCUAUUUUACUUGCUGAAGGCGCAACAUGAUCAGAGCAAAAGUUUGUCGUGUUUUGACCAAUUUCAUGUGAAAACACUGCUGUUAUUCUAUAUUAUAACACAACUCUACUUUAGCUCUGAAGUUAGUUGCAAAUGCAUGAUUUAUUAAAGCACACAGCGGUCUGAUGGUAGGAUGUCGGUAUAUUAUAUUAUCAUUAUCUGGGAUCUCAUGCAUACACACACACACGUUUUUACACAAAAUGACAAAAAACCUUUGAGAUUAUGUGAUGCAUACACUUUAUGAACAAUUUCUCACCAUAAAGGCAUGGGGAUGGUUUUCUUGUUAGCACAGUAAGUGUCUGUAUUGCCCAAAGCUGAAAUGAGAAGUGAAAAUGAAUUAGCAGAAGUAAGCAUUUAGGGCACUGUGUUAAACCACAAUAUAACACUUCCUUGUUCAGCAGUGGUCUGGGAUGGAGUCACAUGCCAUGUGACACUAAAGCCAAGUAGAUUUUUUGAAAGAAACCUUCACAGACUACACAGCUGUCUCACUGCUAUUUAACACUAUUCAUUUGAUGCCGGUUUAAAGACUAUGUACAACUAGAGAACAACUGCAUUUCGUUGCCUCAGUACACUGCAUUUUGUUGCCUCAGUACUUGUACUCUGUGCAAUGACAAUAAACUUUAAUCUAAUCUAAUUUGCACAAUACUUUGACAUAACAAUGUGUCAGCUCAAUAGGGAGUCUUCAGUUGAACCUACUCACAAACGCAGAACUAAAGGCAUAGCUAACAUAAGAAAAACUACCUUCACUGUACCUCAGAUCACACUGAGGAAAGAGUCAAAGAGCCAAAUGUUAAUAGUUUACUUUAUUAUAGCUGGAAAAUAAAAGACAGUUGGUGUGAGAGUUAAAGCACAGGUUGACCAGCCUGGAACUAAGAAAAACAUUAAAAUAAAUAAACAAGCAAGACAAAGCAAAAGGCAACAAAGCAAAAGGCUUAUUCAACUUGAAUUCAUAAAAUAAUAUCAAAUAGGUAAGGAAAUCACAAGCAAAAUAAUAGGCAAGUCUGCCCUUUUGAGUGUGCUGACUCCUUAGGCAAAUUCGCUCCUACGGUGUACGGGAAGCUGCAGCCAUAAAGUCUAACCCAAUAUGGACUUUGCACUAACACAAAAGUCGAUCCUGUUACAUGUCUAAUAUUUAAGAGAUACCACCUCACACAUACCCCAUUGUGUAUUCGCACGGGCAGGUAUUAUUUACAUAGACCCAGAACACUGAGGCAAGAGACCGGAGAUAAAGAGAGGAUGCAGACUUUUUCUGUCUGUUUACUGUUGCUGCUUUGGGCAGAAUCAGACUGCCAGCAUUGGUCUAAAGGUAAGCCUAUGUCUUCAUGUUAUAGGUCAUGACCAUUUUUACAUCAAAGUGACAUUAUGCAGAUUCAUAUCGUUUUCAAGGUAGGUUUUGUAGACUGGUAGUUCCUAAAUCCAUUUUGAUGAUACAUGGUCAUGUGAAUAAAUUAAACCUGGUAUUCCCCCUGUCUGUCCCGGCUGUUCACUACAUCGAUCGACACUCUGUGGACGUGUAAGAACAGCAUUUACUGCAUUACAUCUGCAAUUAUGAUGGCAAAAGAUUAGUUAGAUAUUAGCUCUACCUGUGCAGUUUUUGGUGUUUAAUGCUGCAAUUAAGUCAUAUUGGUGUAAAUACACUAAAUUGGAUGCAGUGAGACAAACUUGGUGGUGAAAAUAUACAGUAGCCUACUGUACGUAAGUGCUGCCCCGCAAAAACUGUUGCUAGUGUAUGCUGAACAGACACUCACCACCGGACUCCAACACCAGCUCUACAUAUUAAGGAGUAAGGAGCUGUACAACUCCGGGGCAAGCAAGGCCUUUUGCAUAUCACAAGCGAGAACUCAACGUAGUAGUGCAAGUUAUUAAAAAAAAAGUAAAGAACGUAUGCAACUGUAAUGCAUUUGUAUUGUUAUAUUCCUUUAAUACCUCUAAAAGUUCACUUUUAUUACCAGUAGAUAGAUGCCUUCACUUCAGCAUGUCUAUGAGAACAUCACAGAAUUCCUCAGGUCCUUAGCAUUGAGCCCAUAACAACUAUGGAUAUGUUCACAACUGUAGUAAGAAUAUGUUUUUAUGCGCCCUACAUUGCUAUUUAAAAAAAAAUAUUCUCUUUGAAUGUGGUCAUGCAUUCCUCAAAAAUAGAUCUUAUUCUAAACUCUGAUGUUAAAAUGAUGUAAUAUUAUCAAUUACAGUAUCUAUAAAUUAUGGUAUAUAGCUCUAUCAUAUGGCAAGCUAGUGUCACAUAUUAUUUUAUUAAAUUGCAUUAUUAAGGUUCUUUAAAGUAACAAGAAUGGCAUCUGCCACAACACGCCUGGUAUUGCACUAUGUAACUUUGGGGUACAGGGCGCUAGACCUCUGGAGAGAACAAUGUAAUGCUUUAUGGCCCCACCUCACACAACACCAACUAGACCCAUGCACUAGCUAUAAGAGGAAGAGUCCAUUCUCUGAGUGUUUUGUGAAUUUUGAUUGUUCUUUAUUUCAGCUUCAGGAUAUGCUUGGGCAACCCCAAGUAUGUGAUCACAUGGCCUUUAUCUCACAUUUGUACACAAUUAAUAUUUUUAAAUGUUAUGAUGAUAUAUGAAAUGUUUGAAACAUUCACCCCAGGACGGUUCCAGAUGAAGUUCAUUCUUUCUAUAUUUCACAUUUCCUCAGUACUUUACUUUUUCAUUGAAAUGUUUUAUUUUGCACACAAUGUUUUAAAACUAUUCGUGAGACUCUGUCAUGACUGUUCUUUCUCUCAGCUCCAGGAUAUGACUGGGUCACCCCAAGUAUGUGACUCCAUCAAAUCGCCUGCAGCUCACAUUUCUACACUUUUUAAAAUGUGUUUAAAAUAUAUAAAAUGUUUGAAAUAUUCGGCCCGGGACAGUUCCAGAUGAAGUAAUUUCUCUCUUUAUUUCAGAUCCACAGCAGCACUGGAUGAGACCCACUCCACGGCAACAAUGGAUGAGAGGCAGUAGGUUGAUGUUUAACAACAUACUUUAUACUCUUUAAAUAGCCAGUAUGGACACAUUUAUAUUUAUAUUGAUUUUGUUUUAUUUUUAAUUCAAUGUUUUAACAAUUUGUGAAACUCUGUGCAUGUCCUGACUGUUAUUUAUCUCAAAUCCAGGAACCUCACGUAUGUAACUCGCAUCACAUCACCUGCUUCUCACAUUUAUACCCAAUCAAAUAUUUAAAAUAUUCAGCCUAGAGUUAUUCAAAAUGUAAUUAUUUCUCUAUUUAGGUCCAUGGAGGCACUGGAUGCAACCCAGUAGGUUUAUGUCCAUCAGCAUACUCUUUAUAUAGCCAAUAUGGACAAAAAAUCUAAACCAUUUUUUUUUUAAUAGAUGAAAUAUAAAUCCAAAAUGUUGAGUGCAUUUUCAUCGUUCUUUAUCUCACCUCCAUAUUGCGUCUAUCAUGUAGUGUUUCUGUAAAGAAUAAUCUAAACAUAUCCAACAUAUCCAUACUCCAACAUAUCACCUCCAUAUCACAUUUCCUCAGUACUUUACUUUUUUAUUGAAAGGCUAUUUUUCACACAAUGUUUUAACCAUUUGUGAGACUCUGUCAUGACUGUUCUUUCUCUCAGCUCCAGGAUAUGACUGGGUCACCCCAAGUAUGUGACCCCAUCAAAUCGCCUGCAUUUCACAUUUCUACACAAUUCACUUUUUCAAAAUCUGUUUAAAAUAUAUUCAAUGUUUGAAAUAUUCAGCCCGGGACAGUUCCAGAUGAAGUUAUUUCUCUCUAUAUUUCAGAUCCACGGUGGCCCAGGAUGAGACCCAGUAAGUUUAUGUUGAUCAACAUACUUCAUACAGACUCUUCAUAUAGUCAGUAUGGCCAAACAUUUGUGAGAUCUUUCAGCAAAUUACAGCAGGGUUUUGUCCAUGUCUCUCCAAAUCCAAGAAUACACCUCUAACACUUAUUUUACAAACAACAUUGCUGAAAUCUAUUGACCAUAAUCUAUUAUACUUAUAUUACAUAGUAUGCAAAAGGAUUUUAAUCCAAAGUGUUUUGUGAAUUUUGACUAUUCUUUAUCUCAACUCCCAAACUACACUGUUAACACCUAAAGUAUAUUACUCCAUUACAUUACUUGAAUCUCACAUUUGCAUGGCAUUCACUGUUUCAUUUAAAAAUUUUCAGUGCAGAACUGAAAUGAAAUAACAUCUCUCUGUGUUUCAGCUUCUUCAUACUGGCGCAGGAUGAGACCCAGUAGGUUGAAAGUCAUCAACAUACUUUUCACAUACACCUGCAAUCGCCGGCUAUGUAACUUUGUAACUUUAGAUUUCUAAUCCAAUUUUUGGACCAUAUGUAAGAUCCUUUUAAUGCCACUCAAUUUUCUAAAAUACACCAUUAACCAUAUAAUUAAAAACAGGAAAAUGCACAGCCCAAUUCAUAACAAUGCUAUGGUCCAUGCCAAUCUUGGAAUAGAAAGUAAAUAAACCUAUGGUUUAUUGCUCAAUAUUGAUUGUUCCACUACUGUUAACUAAAGUACAAUUAUAAGAUACCAUUCGUGCACUUAUUAGUAUAUAGAGUAUUAAGCACCAUCAAGGUUCUCUGUGAAGUCUGAAGUUCUAUACGCAGAGCUUGACUUAAUGAACGUACUCUGUCCAGGUCUAUAAUGUUCAGACUUAUCAUGCAAAAAAUAUGUCUGAAAUGUAUUUCUGAAAUUCUAUUACACUUGUAGGACCACUUUUUACUUGUUCCUUUUUGUUAAUCAUAUAUUUUAAGUGUCUUUUCAUUUUUUGAGCUAUUUUUUGAUGGUACAAUUGUUCUUGAUAAUCUAGAACACUGUAUUGAAUGGAUAUCACUUGAUAUUUUAAUUCAAAGUGUUUUGUGAAUUUUGAUUGUUCUUCAUUUCAGCUUCAGGAUAUGAUUGGGCAACCCAAAGUAUGUGACUCUCACAUGGCCUUCAUCCCACAUUUCUACACAAUUCACUUUUCAAAAUAUGUUAUAACAUAUGAAAUGUUUAAAACAUUCAGUUCAGGACGGUUCCAGAUGAGUUAUUUCUCUCUAUAUUUCAGAUCCACGGUGGCCCAGGAUGAGACCCAGUAAGUUUAUGCUGAUCAACAUACUUCUUACAGACUCUUCAUAUAGUCAGUAUGGCCAAACAUUUGUGAGAUCUUUCAGCAAAUUACAGCAGGGUUUUGUCCAUGUCUCUCCGCAUCCAAGAAUACACCUCUAAAACUUAUUUUACAAACAAAAUUGCUGAAAUCUAUUGACCAUAAUCUAUUAUACUUAUAUUACAUAGUAUGCAAAAGGAUUUUAAUCCAAAGUGUUUUCUGAAUUUUGACUAUUCUUUAUCUCAACUCCCAAACUACACUGUUAACACCUAAAGUAUAUUACUCUUUUACAUUACUUAUAUCUCACAUUUGCAUGGCAUUCACUGUUUCAUUUAAAAAUAUUCAGUGCAGAACUGAACUGAAAUAACAUCUCUCUGCGUCUCAGCUUCUUCAUACUGGCGCAGGAUGAGACCCAGUAGGUUGAAAGUCAUCAACAUACUUUUCACAUACACCUGCAAUCGCCGGCUAUGUAACUUUGUAACUUUAGAUUUUUAAUCCAAUUUUUGGACCAUAUGUAAGAUCCUGUUAAUGCCACUCCUUUUUCUGAAAUACACCGUUAACCAUAUAAUUAAAAACAGGACAAUGCACGUCCCAAUUCAUAACAAUGCUAUGGUCCAUGCCAAUCUUGGAAUAAAAAGUAAAUAAACCUAUGGUUUAUUCCUCAAUAUUGAUUGUUCCACUACUGUUAACUAAAGUACAAGCAUAAGAUACCAUUCAUGCACUUAUUAGUAUAUAGAGUAUUAAGCACCAUAAAGGUUCUCUGUGAAGUCUGAAGUUCUAUACGCAGAGCUUGACUUAAUGAACGUACUCUGUCCAGGUCUAUAAUGUUAAGACUUAUCAUGCAAAAAACAUGUCUGAAAUGUAUUUCUGAAAUUCUAUUACACUUGUAGGACCACUUUUUACUUGUUCCUUUUUGUUAAUCAUAUAUUUUAAGUGUCCUUUCAUUUUUUGAGCUAUUUUUUGAUGGUACAAUUGUUCUUGAUAAUCUAGAACACUGUAUUGAAUGGAUAUCACUUGAUAUUUUAAUUCAAAGUGUUUUGUGAAUUUUGAUUGUUCUUUAUUUCAGCUUCAGGAUAUGAUUGGGCAACCCAAAGUAUGUGACUCUCACAUGGCCUUCAUCUCACAUUUCUACACAAUUCACUUUUUAAAAUGUUAUAAUAUAUAAAAUAUUUAAAACAUUCACUCCACGACGGUUCCAGAUGAGUUAUUUCUCUCUAUAUUUCAGAUCCACGGUGGCCCAGGAUGAGACCCAGUAAGUAUAUGUUGAUCAACAUACUUCAUACAGACUCUUCAUAUAGUCAGUAUGGCCAAACAUUUGUGAGAUCUUUCAGCAAAUUACAGCAGGGUUUUGUCCAUGUCUCUCCAUAUCCAAGAAUACACCUCUAACACUUAUUUUACAAACAACAUUGCUGAAAUCUAUUGACCAUAAUCUAUUAUACUUAUAUUACAUAGUAUACAAAGGGAUUUUAAUCCAAAGCGUUUUCUGAAUUUUGACUAUUCUUUAUCUCAACUCCCAAACUACACUGUUAACACCUAAAGUAUAUUACUCUUUUACAUUACUUGAAUCUCACAUUUGCAUGGCAUUCACUGUUUCAUUUAAAAAUAUUCAGUGCAGAACUGAAAUGAAAUAACAUCUCUCUGUGUCUCAGCUUCUUCAUACUGGCGCAGGAUGAGACCCAGUAGGUUGAAAGUCAUCAACAUACUUUUCACAUACACCUGCAAUCGCCGGCUAUGUAACUUUGUAACUUUAGAUUUCUAAUCCAAUUUUUGGACCAUAUGUAAGAUCCUGUUAAUGCCACUCCAUUUUCUAAAAUACACUGUUAACCACAAAAUUAAAAACAGGAAAAUGCACAGCCCAAUUCAUAACAAUGCUAUGGUCUAUGCCAAUCUUGGAAUAGAAAGUAAAUAAACCUAUGGUUUAUUGCUCAAUAUUGAUUGUUCAACUACUGUUAACUAAAGUACAAGCAUAAGACACCAUUCGUGCAUUUAUUAGUAGAUCGAGUAUUAAGCACCAUCAAGGUCCUCUGUGAAGUCUGAAGUUCUAUACGCAGAGCUUGACUUAAUGAACGUACUCUCUCCAGGUCUAUAAUGUUCAGACUUAUCAUGCAAAAAAUAUGUCUGAAAUGUAUUUCUGAAAUUCUAUUACACUUGUAGGACCACUUUUUACUUGUUCCUUUUUGUUAUUCAUAUAUUUUAAGUGUCUUUUCAUUUUUUGAGCUAUUUUUUGAUGGUACAAUUGUUCUUGAUAAUCUAGAACACUGUAUUGAAUGGAUAUCACUUGAUAUUUUAAUUCAAAGUGUUUUGUGAAUUUUGAUUGUUCUUUAUUUCAGCUUCAGGAUAUGAUUGGGCAACCCAAAGUAUGUGACUCUCACAUGGCCUUCAUCUCACAUUUCUACACAAUUCACUUUUCAAAAUAUGUUAUAACAUAUGAAAUGUUUAAAACAUUCAGUUCAGGACGGUUCCAGAUGAGUUAUUUCUCUCUAUAUUUCAGAUCCACGGUGGCCCAGGAUGAGACCCAGUAAGUUUAUGCUGAUCAACAUACUUCAUACAGACUCUUCAUAUAGUCAGUAUGGCCAAACAUUUGUGAGAUCUUUCAGCAAAUUACAGCAGGGUUUUGUCCAUGUCUCUCCGCAUCCAAGAAUACACCUCUAAAACUUAUUUUACAAACAAAAUUGCUGAAAUCUAUUGACCAUAAUCUAUUAUACUUAUAUUACAUAGUAUGCAAAAGGAUUUUAAUCCAAAGUGUUUUCUGAAUUUUGACUAUUCUUUAUCUCAACUCCCAAACUACACUGUUAACACCUAAAGUAUAUUACUCUUUUACAUUACUUAUAUCUCACAUUUGCAUGGCAUUCACUGUUUCAUUUAAAAAUAUUCAGUGCAGAACUGAACUGAAAUAACAUCUCUCUGCGUCUCAGCUUCUUCAUACUGGCGCAGGAUGAGACCCAGUAGGUUGAAAGUCAUCAACAUACUUUUCACAUACACCUGCAAUCGCCGGCUAUGUAACUUUGUAACUUUAGAUUUUUAAUCCAAUUUUUGGACCAUAUGUAAGAUCCUGUUAAUGCCACUCCUUUUUCUGAAAUACACCGUUAACCAUAUAAUUAAAAACAGGACAAUGCACGUCCCAAUUCAUAACAAUGCUAUGGUCCAUGCCAAUCUUGGAAUAAAAAGUAAAUAAACCUAUGGUUUAUUCCUCAAUAUUGAUUGUUCCACUACUGUUAACUAAAGUACAAGCAUAAGAUACCAUUCAUGCACUUAUUAGUAUAUAGAGUAUUAAGCACCAUAAAGGUUCUCUGUGAAGUCUGAAGUUCUAUACGCAGAGCUUGACUUAAUGAACGUACUCUGUCCAGGUCUAUAAUGUUAAGACUUAUCAUGCAAAAAACAUGUCUGAAAUGUAUUUCUGAAAUUCUAUUACACUUGUAGGACCACUUUUUACUUGUUCCUUUUUGUUAAUCAUAUAUUUUAAGUGUCCUUUCAUUUUUUGAGCUAUUUUUUGAUGGUACAAUUGUUCUUGAUAAUCUAGAACACUGUAUUGAAUGGAUAUCACUUGAUAUUUUAAUUCAAAGUGUUUUGUGAAUUUUGAUUGUUCUUUAUUUCAGCUUCAGGAUAUGAUUGGGCAACCCAAAGUAUGUGACUCUCACAUGGCCUUCAUCUCACAUUUCUACACAAUUCACUUUUUAAAAUGUUAUAAUAUAUAAAAUAUUUAAAACAUUCACUCCACGACGGUUCCAGAUGAGUUAUUUCUCUCUAUAUUUCAGAUCCACGGUGGCCCAGGAUGAGACCCAGUAAGUAUAUGUUGAUCAACAUACUUCAUACAGACUCUUCAUAUAGUCAGUAUGGCCAAACAUUUGUGAGAUCUUUCAGCAAAUUACAGCAGGGUUUUGUCCAUGUCUCUCCAUAUCCAAGAAUACACCUCUAACACUUAUUUUACAAACAACAUUGCUGAAAUCUAUUGACCAUAAUCUAUUAUACUUAUAUUACAUAGUAUACAAAGGGAUUUUAAUCCAAAGCGUUUUCUGAAUUUUGACUAUUCUUUAUCUCAACUCCCAAACUACACUGUUAACACCUAAAGUAUAUUACUCUUUUACAUUACUUGAAUCUCACAUUUGCAUGGCAUUCACUGUUUCAUUUAAAAAUAUUCAGUGCAGAACUGAAAUGAAAUAACAUCUCUCUGUGUCUCAGCUUCUUCAUACUGGCGCAGGAUGAGACCCAGUAGGUUGAAAGUCAUCAACAUACUUUUCACAUACACCUGCAAUCGCCGGCUAUGUAACUUUGUAACUUUAGAUUUCUAAUCCAAUUUUUGGACCAUAUGUAAGAUCCUGUUAAUGCCACUCCAUUUUCUAAAAUACACUGUUAACCACAAAAUUAAAAACAGGAAAAUGCACAGCCCAAUUCAUAACAAUGCUAUGGUCUAUGCCAAUCUUGGAAUAGAAAGUAAAUAAACCUAUGGUUUAUUGCUCAAUAUUGAUUGUUCAACUACUGUUAACUAAAGUACAAGCAUAAGACACCAUUCGUGCAUUUAUUAGUAGAUCGAGUAUUAAGCACCAUCAAGGUCCUCUGUGAAGUCUGAAGUUCUAUACGCAGAGCUUGACUUAAUGAACGUACUCUCUCCAGGUCUAUAAUGUUCAGACUUAUCAUGCAAAAAAUAUGUCUGAAAUGUAUUUCUGAAAUUCUAUUACACUUGUAGGACCACUUUUUACUUGUUCCUUUUUGUUAUUCAUAUAUUUUAAGUGUCUUUUCAUUUUUUGAGCUAUUUUUUGAUGGUACAAUUGUUCUUGAUAAUCUAGAACACUGUAUUGAAUGGAUAUCACUUGAUAUUUUAAUUCAAAGUGUUUUGUGAAUUUUGAUUGUUCUUUAUUUCAGCUUCAGGAUAUGAUUGGGCAACCCAAAGUAUGUGACUCUCACAUGGCCUUCAUCUCACAUUUCUACACAAUUCACUUUUUUAAAUGUUAUAAUAUAUGAAAUGUUUAAAACAUUCACUUCAGGACAGUUCCAGAUGAGUUAUUUCUCUCUAUAUUUCAGAUCCAUGGUGGCCCAGGAUGAGACCCAAUCUCCCAAACCCACUGAUUAGAGUGUACAGAUUGGUGAGCAACUAUGAGGACGCCGUCAUAGUUUCCUGUCAAUGUCACGUUCCCGUUCAUGGAAGCCAACUGCAGCUGAAGGUGGUGGUGGAAGAGCAAAGCUUCACAAUGAACUACCCCGACUUCAGCAGAGGAACAGAACACCUCUUCAAGAUCACGGUGUCUUCACCCGCUUCCUUCUCAUGUGUUCAGAAACUAGACGGCAAGACUCUCCUUAGCGAUGUGUUCAUCUUCAGUAAGCAUAUUGAGAGUCAUGGUUUCCCUGGACCAGAAGUGUCUCUGUCCUACCAGGCAUUCGCAGGAACUCUGGGCUGUCUGCUUAUCCUCAUGAUUUCUGGGAUGGUGGUGAUGAUGAUGAUGACUCUGUUGAAAAUACAGAAAGUGAAACAACGGACCUUCAAGAGAUUCCCUGUCUCAGAAGACACCAAGACUGUUUGACUCUUUAAACAUAGUCUUUUUUCAGUCACAGCGACAUAUAGUUUAUAACUGCUUAGAUAUUUGAUCUUUAAAUUCAUGUUUUUAAGUGGCAUAGGACAUAACGGUAUAAUGACCUAUUAUCCAAGACUAGUAUAUGAGCCAGGAUUAGAUCCAAACAGUUAGUCACAGUGCAGGUGCAUGUCUCAUGCUAGUAGGCUUUGAUAUUUUUGUAUGCAGCUAUGCUAUAGCAUCAAUGAGUAAAUGGCUUAAUUUCUUUCAUUUUGGACUAAUAAGUAUGCAUAUAUGUAAUAUUAGUCUUUUCUUCAGUCAAGACAGAAUAUAUGUACAUGCAGCAUGCAUGCUUACAUGCUUAUGUUUAUUUAGUAGAGUUUAAAAUACUUAAAUGGCUGAUAAAUCAUUACAUGAUUUGGAUUUGGCUUGAUAUAAUUCAGGUGUGUCUCCCAAUAAUAACAAUAUAAGUUCCAUCUUUUAAAUGUCUUGUGUUGAUUAAUUCCAGCUUGUCAAAUAAAUACUUAGAUAUAUUCUUCAUUAUUCUUCUU